rnacentral:lncRNA from 1 species
GGAACCCCCAGCAGCAACCUGCUUGCGUCGCUUCCUGCACUUUGGCGGCUUUGUUCUUUAGCUCUUUGCAAUAAAUCUUGCUGCUGCUCACUCUUUGGGUCCACACUGCCUUUAUGAGCUGUAACACUCACCACGAAGGUCUGCAGCUUCACUUCUGAAGCCAGCGGGACCACGAACCCACUGGGAGGAACGAACAACUCUAGACGCACUGCCUGAAGAGCUGUAACACUCACCGUGAAGGUCCACAGCUUCACUCCUGAGCCAGUGAGACCAUGAACCCACCAGAGGGAAGAAACUCGGAACACAUCUGAACAGCAGAAGGAACAAACUCCGGACACGCCGCCUUUAAGAACUAUAACACUCACGGCGAGGGUGCGCGGUUUCAUUCUUGAAGUCAGUGAGACCAAGAACCCACCAAUUCUGGACACAUGGCCACUGAGCACUCCCUGCUCGGGGCUGCACCUCAGCAACAACAGAGGCUAUGAUACCGGGCUGGAGGGCGCUGAAACGUUAGGAACAAGCUCUGAAGUCUUGAUCCAAAACAGACAAGGCUUUAAUAUGAAAGCAUUUUUCUUUGAAGAAGUUCACCCUGAAGCCUUGGCCCAAUGAUCUCAGAAGAUGAGAGAGAAUGGCAAACCAAAAACUCUGAGUGAGUUUGAAAGUGGAUCUUCUGAAGCCUUCCAACAGUCAUGUGUGGAAUCUGGAAGUGCAUUUUUGAGGCUUUCCCAUAGCCAUCUGAGUGAGCUGAUUUGGACCAUUUGGAGGAAGUAGAGUGAGCAUUUGAAAAAAUGGUAUUUAUGUCAACCAGACCUGGAGUUCAAGUUCACCUUCUGCCAUGUAAAAAAUCUCCC